rnacentral:rRNA from 1 species
CCUACGGGUGGCAGCAGUGAGGAAUAUUGGUCAAUGGGCGAGAGCCUGAACCAGCGAAGUCGCGUGAAGGAUGACGGCCCUACGGGUUGUAAACUUCUUUUGUCAGGGAGCAAUUUAGUCCACGUGUGGUCUUAGCGAGAGUACCUGAAGAAAAAGCAUCGGCUAACUCAGUGCCAGCAGCCGCGGUAAUACGUAGGAUGCGAGCGUUAUCCGGAUUUAUUGGGUUUAAAGGGUGCGUAGGCGGAAUAUCAAGUCAGCGGUAAAAAUUCGGGGCUCAACCCCGUCGUGCCGUUGAAACUGAUGUUCUUGAGUGGGAGAGAGGUAUGCGGAAUGCGUGGGGUAGCGGUGAAAUGCAGAGAUAUCACGAAGAACACCGAUUGCGAAGGCAGCAUACCGGGGCCAAACUGACGCUGAAGCACGAAAGCGUGGGUAUCGAACAGGAUUAGAUACCCCGGUAGUC